rnacentral:antisense_RNA from 1 species
CUUCAACGAUCCCAGCCACAAAGGACGAUCCGCAGAACGCUCCUGGCCAUACGUGGCGAGCAGCGCCUGCGCCUC